UACGUAGGGUGCGAGCGUUGUCCGGAAUUAUUGGGCGUAAAGGACUCGUAGGCGGUUUGUCGCGUCGGGAGUGAAAACCCAGGGCUUAACCCUGGGCUGGCUUCCGAUACGGGCAGACUAGAGGUAUGCAGGGGAGAACGGAAUUCCUGGUGUAGCGGUGAAAUGCGCAGAUAUCAGGAGGAACACCGGUGGCGAAGGCGGUUCUCUGGGCAUUAACUGACGCUGAGGAGCGAAAGCAUGGGGAGCGAACAGG
rnacentral:rRNA from 1 species